GUUUGACAGUCCAAACAACUAACUGUCCUCAAACACAGUCAGAUGGUGUGAUGGUGCUGCUGGUCCCUCUCUGCCUUCAACUGUCCCUCAUAUAAUGAGGUAGAUGGGGAUAACGAGAACAAGACCAAAUGGACCCAGUUUAGUGAGAUGGAGGUGGUUACUCUUGAACAGAAUGCCAUCAGCAGCCUUCAACAAACGAAAUAAAUCCUCUGACCAGACUCCGAUAAAGACACGUCAGAAAUCUCCAAGAAUGUUCUUCUUACCAAAGCAGAAUAUGUGUAGAUUUUUUUUGUGAAAUAUUCCUUUCCUUAUGAAUCUGGAAGGAAAUGGCUACUCAUGGUACCAGUUCCUCAAACACAAAUUCAAAGCGGAGCUGCACCUCUGGUUCUCGAUGAGCAAGGAGAAUGAUGCUGUCUCAAGAAAUUCCAGGAUCCUGUCCCAGAUCUAUGUUAGGGGAACUUGUUGCCAUUGAAGAUACAUCCUCCAGUGAAUGCCUUGGAUAUUCAGUGUAAUGUGUAUUCAGUGAUGUGACCAGAUACCUUCCUUGUCAAAGCCAUAUGAUGUCUGUGUGGUAAGCUUUUGAAUUCAGUAUCUUAUGCUUUACAUUUCCACGUGUUGAAACUGAAUAGAGUAUAAUUAAACCAGGAGUUGGACUUUCAGACCCUUGACACAUGCUCUGUUGUUGAUAAAUUGUGAUUCUCAUGAAUGCUUGAAUUGUAUAUUUAAAAUGAAACAUGCAGAACUAAUUUUGGAAAAAGUUAAAUUGACCAAUUUAUGUGAUAAAAUGUUAAUGGUAUGAAUGUUGCAGUAAAAAUAAUUAAAUUCAAGUUUAUUUGUAUUCACGAUGCAAAUUGUUUCAAAGCAGCUUUACACCGUGACCUAACUACACACGACGCCACACCGCGAUGCGACAGAAUCAAUCAAAUAUCUCAGCCAAUCAGAAGCGUGUGUGGGCGGGCUCUCUCUGAAAGCGCACUGCUCUUGCAACGAAAUGGAUAUGUUUAUAAUCUAAUUCAUAAAUUUUAAAGCUUUUUAACAUCAUUAAAUAUACAUACUGAGUGACUGAUAACAUCUUUGUUAUGGAGUACACUCGUUGGUUCGCAGUGAGUUCACAGUUUUAACGGUCAUCUUUUGAUUUAAUUUAUUUUUCAAGAUCUGAGGUAAACUAUCUGUUGUUUCUUUCAGUAUGGGUCACCCAAUAUGAUAUUUAAACUCAUAUUAGACACGUUUCAUUUUGAAUAAAGCAUAUAAUCACCUGAGAUUAUCUACUGUCAUAUAGUUUGUAUGCAGG